rnacentral:lncRNA from 1 species
CAACGUUUUUAUAGAUGUUGUUAUAAAAAAAUGUUAUAAAUGUUUAUCAGCGUUUUUUGUUGAAUGAAAUGGGGAUUUUCAGUAAAUGAAAAAUAUUGAUAAUGUUCUGGAUAAAGUUUCAAUUAAAAAUGUCAUGGACAUUUUCACAAAAAAUGAAAAAUUUUGAAAAUGUCAAUUAUUUUUGUGGCAUUUUUCUUUUUUUCCCUUCUUUUUCUUUUUUUUAAAAAGGCCAUUUUAUGAUGAAAAAACUGCUUCAAGAAUUUCAACCCUCUUGACAGGUCAGUUUCAUUUUUGUUUCCAGCCAGUUUCACUUUCCAAUUAUUAUUCAAGUGAGUGCAAGAACAAAGAUGAUCCCACAUUGGGCAGAGAUUCAGCUCUGAUGUAUUGGGCUUUCCUAUUCCUAUACACAUUACUCUCAACUCCUUUAGCCAGCUUCCAGAGCAGGUGUGGCAUUCUGCAAAAAAGACGAUCAAGUGAAAGCAUGAAGGGGAAUCUUGUCCCCUUCUCCGAGUGUGUCUGGGAUAUCAAAAAAGCAGCAGAACUGGUUAAGGUUCGGCUGCACAGGAGAAUACAAUAUGGGGAACCCAAAGAGGGGGUCUGCAGACCCUGCAUGCCAGCCAGAUAUACUUGUUAAGGGGCUCCUUCCAUGCUGUCAUCUGCCAGAACAGGAUGUGGAUACCUCAGAUAAAUGCAUCCCUUCAAACACUAUCUCUCAUCAGCCCUCCACUUGAUUGAUGAGUAAAAACUGGCCCUCAAUCUCAUUUAAACAAACAGUAAGGGCACGUGAGACAUACUAUUCGUAACAGUAAUAGAUAACACUUCAAUGGUGCUUUUCGGUCAUUAGACUCAAAGCACACAAUGAUCAGGUACCAUUAAACAUCUUUAUCUCCAUUCUACAGGUGGGGAAACGGGGGCAGAGUGAUUUGUAGUGUUUUGGCCAAGAUCACACAGCAAGUCAGUGGUGACAGAGCCAGAACUGGAACCCAGUUCUCCUACCUCCCGCACUUGUGUCCUAUUUACCGGAGCACACUCGCAAUGCAGAUGAAUACACCUAUAGUUUAGGCUUGUGUGUGCCCAUGAGCAGACCUGUAAUGCAGAUGCAUUGGAGGACAACAGCUUUUGCUAUAUGCUACAGAGGGCUUUGCAAAAUUAAGGUCAUAAUGGAAGGCACGAUCCUUGGCUUUAUAGUGUAGUAAUUAUGAUUGCCAGUAGUUAUGAUAAUUAGUUUUCUUUUUUUAAACAGGAACAAUAAUUUUUUUCAGAUAGACAUACAGUACUGUCCAUAGUACAUUUUAGGCCAAGUAUUUUAUGUAAAUAAAAUAAAAAGUAACACAAUUCA